GGAUGUGAGGGCGAUCUGGCUGCGACAUCUGUCACCCCAUUGAUCGCCAGGGUUGAUUCGACUGAUCUGGCUGGCUAGGCGGGUGUCCCCCUCCUCCCUCACCGAUCCAUGUGCGUCCCUCCCGAAGCUGUGUGCUCGGUCGAAGAGGACAACCUUCCCCCCCGAGGAGAGGACCUGUCUUCGGUCAAGGGUAUACGAGUAGCUGCGCUCCCCUGCUAGAACCUCCAAACAAGCUCUCAAGGAAAGAAGCGCUAUUAAAGAUAAAGGAGACUCUGACAUGUCUAAUCCCACACCUAGACUGCCUAAAUAGGAUAUUUCU
ensembl:misc_RNA 7SK 7SK RNA